rnacentral:rRNA from 1 species
UACGUAGUGGGCAAGCGUUGUCCGGAAUCAUUGGGCGUAAAGCGCGUGUAGGCGGUUCGGUAAGUCUGCUGUGAAAGUCCAGGGCUCAACCCUGGGAUGCCGGUGGAUACUGUCGGACUAGAGUACGGAAGAGGCGAGUGGAAUUCCCGGUGUAGCGGUGAAAUGCGCAGAUAUCGGGAGGAACACCAAUUGCGAAGGCAGCUCGCUGGGACGUCACUGACGCUGAGACGCGAAAGCGUGGGGAGCAAACAGG